rnacentral:rRNA from 1 species
GUCCAGCCUGCCCAGUGACUUAGUUAAACGGCCGCGGUACCCUGACCGUGCGAAGGUAGCAUAAUCACUUGUUCUUUAAAUAAGGACUAGUAUCAACGGCAUCACGAGGGUUACACUGUCUCCUCCCUCCAAUCAGUGAAACUGAUCUCCCCGUGAAGAAGCGGGGAUAGAAAUAUAAGACGAGAAGACCCCAUGGAGCUUUAAACCCAACAACAACCUCUAUGCACAACUCCCUAAUAAAUGCAGAAGUACUGUCUGUUGGUUUUAGGUUGGGGUGACCGCGGAGUAAAACUUAACCUCCACGAUGAACGGGAUUAACCCCUAAUCCAAGAGCCACCGCUCUAAGAAUCAAUAAAUUGACGUGAAAUGAUCCGACAAUCGAUCAACGAACCAAGUUACCCUGGGGAUAACAGCGCAAUCCAUUUCAAGAGCUCCUAUCGACAAAUGGGUUUACGACCUCGAUGUUGGAUCAGGGUAUCCCAGUGGUGCAGCCGCUACUAAAGGUUUGUUUGUUCAACAAUUAAAACCCUACGU